rfam:Jatropha curcas cultivar GZQX0401 scaffold160_51, whole genome shotgun sequence.
CUCUCUAAUGAUGUGUUUUUAAAAACUUUCGUUCUCCUGAGCUUAUUAAUGCUGAAAAUAUUUGGAGACCUGAGCUGAAGAGUU